UGUUCGUGAAAUCUCACGGCUUAACUGUGAGCGUGCGGGCGAUACGGGCAGACUUGAGUACUGCAGGGGAGACUGGAAUUCCUGGUGUAGCGGUGGAAUGCGCAGAUAUCAGGAGGAACACCGGUGGCGAAGGCGGGUCUCUGGGCAGUAACUGACGCUGAGGAGCGAAAGCGUGGGGAGCGAACAGGAUUAGAUACCCUGGUAGUCCACGCCGUAAACGGUGGGUACUAGGUGUGGGUUUCCUUCCUUGGGAUCCGUGCCGUAGCUAACGCAUUAAGUACCCCGCCUGGGGAGUACGGCCGCAAGGCUAAAACUCAAAGAAAUUGACGGGGGCCCGCACAAGCGGCGGAGCAUGUGGAUUAAUUCGAUGCAACGCGAAGAACCUUACCUGGGUUUGACAUGCACAGGACGCCGGCAGAGAUGUCGGUUCCCUUGUGGCCUGUGUGCAGGUGGUGCAUGGCUGUCGUCAGCUCGUGUCGUGAGAUGUUGGGUUAAGUCCCGCAACGAGCGCAACCCUUGUCUCAUGUUGCCAGCGGGUAAUGCCGGGGACUCGUGAGAGACUGCCGGGGUCAACUCGGAGGAAGGUGGGGAUGACGUCAAGUCAUCAUGCCCCUUAUGUCCAGGGCUUCACACAUGCUACAAUGGCCGGUACAAAGGGCUGCGAUGCCGCGAGGUUAAGCGAGUCCUUUUAAAGCCGGUCUCAGUUCGGAU
rnacentral:rRNA from 1 species